rnacentral:rRNA from 1 species
UCUCAGUUCGGACUGUAGGCUGCAACUCGCCUACACGAAGUUGGAAUUGCUAGUAAUCGUGGAUCAGCAUGCCACGGUGAAUACGUUCCCGGGUCUUGUACACACCGCCCGUCACACCAUGGGAGCUGGUAACACCCGAAGUCAGUAGUCUAACCGCAAGGAGGACGCUGCCGAAGGUGGGAUUAGCGACUGGGGUGAAGUCGUAACAAGGUAAC